rnacentral:tRNA from 2 species
GGAGAGGUGGCUGAGUGGCUGAAAGCGACGGUUUGCUAAAUCGUUGUACGGAUUAAUACCCGUACCGGGGGUUCGAAUCCCCCCCUCUCCG